ACCGGCGUGGUGUAGUGGUAACGCAUCGGUCUCCAAAACCGAAAACGAGGGUUCGAUUCCUUCCGCCGGUGCCA
rnacentral:tRNA from 2 species